CAGGUGCGGAGUGAAACUCAUGGCCAAGAGAGAGCCAAGAAGCCUCCCUCUGCUCCUUACUGAAAGGAAACUUCCUCUGAACACUUACUGCAGAACAGAGCACUUCAAAGAUGCGGAAUAUUCUGUCAUCACUGUUGUUGAAGUCAAAGUUAUAGGAGAACCACCGUGAAUUUCUCUAAUACAACUCUUUGAUGCAGAGUCAAACAAAAAUCUCUUUCCACCCGAUAUUCCAAACUUCUACGAAAAAACUAUGUAAUGGAUGUGAGCUCUUUAGCACUAUAGGAUUACAGGCAGACCUUGGAGAUAUUGUGGGUUUGGUUCCAGACCACUGCAAUAAAGGGAAUAUCGCAAUAAAAGAACUGAGGCUCAGAGAGGCAGUCCUGUGCCUGCCAAUGGCAGGUCACCCAGGUCACUCGUAAACGACUGAGCUGGGACUUGAGCCGGCAGUCUCUCCCUAUUGUGACUCCAGAGACUCAGCUCUUCCCACCUUAACUUGGCACCUUGUGGUCGCUUCCGUCUAUGGAAAUAUUCUCCAGUAUCUGAUAGUUGGAGAGGGGGCACGGGUUCGAGCCCUGGUCUGGGAAGAUCCCACAUGCCGCGGAGCAACUAGGCCCGUGAGCCACAACUACUGAGCCUGCGCGUCUGGAGCCUGUGCUCCGCAACAAGAGAGGCCGCGAUAGUGAGAGGCCCGCGCGCCGCGAUGAAGAGUGGCCCCCGCUUGCCGCAACUGGAGGAAGCCCUCGCACAGAAACGAAGACCCAA